GGUCAAGUGAAGAAGCGCAUACGGUGGAUGCCUUGGCAGUCAGAGGCGAUGAAAGACGUGGUAGCCUGCGAAAAGCUUCGGGGAGUCGGCAAACAGACUUUGAUCCGGAGAUCUCUGAAUGGGGGAACCCACCUAGGAUAACCUAGGUAUCUUGUACUGAAUCCAUAGGUGCAAGAGGCGAACCAGGGGAACUGAAACAUCUAAGUACCCUGAGGAAAAGAAAUCAACCGAGAUUCCCUUAGUAGUGGCGAGCGAACGGGGAUUAGCCCUUAAGCUUCAUUGAUUUUAGCGGAACGCUCUGGAAAGUGCGGCCAUAGUGGGUGAUAGCCCCGUACGCGAAAGGAUCUUUGAAGUGAAAUCGAGUAGGACGGAGCACGAGAAACUUUGUCUGAACAUGGGGGGACCAUCCUCCAAGGCUAAAUACUACUGACUGACCGAUAGUGAACCAGUACCGUGAGGGAAAGGCGAAAAGAACCCCGGAGAGGGGAGUGAAAUAGAACCUGAAACCGUAUGCGUACAAGCAGUGGGAGCCUACUUGUUAGGUGACUGCGUACCUUUUGUAUAAUGGGUCAGCGACUUAUAUUCAGUGGCAAGCUUAACCGUAUAGGGUAGGCGUAGCGAAAGCGAGUCUUAAUAGGGCGUUUAGUCGCUGGGUAUAGACCCGAAACCGGGCGAUCUAUCCAUGAGCAGGUUGAAGGUUAGGUAACACUGACUGGAGGACCGAACCCACUCCCGUUGAAAAGGUAGGGGAUGACUUGUGGAUCGGAGUGAAAGGCUAAUCAAGCUCGGAGAUAGCUGGUUCUCCUCGAAAGCUAUUUAGGUAGCGCCUCAUGUAUCACUCUGGGGGGUAGAGCACUGUUUCGGCUAGGGGGUCAUCCCGACUUACCAAACCGAUGCAAACUCCGAAUACCCAGAAGUGCCGAGCAUGGGAGACACACGGCGGGUGCUAACGUCCGUCGUGAAAAGGGAAACAACCCAGACCGCCAGCUAAGGUCCCAAAGUUGUGGUUAAGUGGUAAACGAUGUGGGAAGGCUUAGACAGCUAGGAGGUUGGCUUAGAAGCAGCCAUCCUUUAAAGAAAGCGUAAUAGCUCACUAGUCGAGUCGGCCUGCGCGGAAGAUGUAACGGGGCUCAAACCACACACCGAAGCUGCGGGUGUCACGUAAGUGACGCGGUAGAGGAGCGUUCUGUAAGCCUGUGAAGGUGAGUUGAGAAGCUUGCUGGAGGUAUCAGAAGUGCGAAUGCUGACAUGAGUAACGACAAUGGGUGUGAAAAACACCCACGCCGAAAGACCAAGGGUUCCUGCGCAACGUUAAUCGACGCAGGGUUAGUCGGUUCCUAAGGCGAGGCUGAAAAGCGUAGUCGAUGGGAAACAGGUUAAUAUUCCUGUACUUCUGGUUACUGCGAUGGAGGGACGGAGAAGGCUAGGCCAGCUUGGCGUUGGUUGUCCAAGUUUAAGGUGGUAGGCUGAAAUCUUAGGUAAAUCCGGGGUUUCAAGGCCGAGAGCUGAUGACGAGUCGUCUUUUAGAUGACGAAGUGGUUGAUGCCAUGCUUCCAAGAAAAGCUUCUAAGCUUCAGGUAACCAGGAACCGUACCCCAAACCGACACAGGUGGUCGGGUAGAGAAUACCAAGGCGCUUGAGAGAACUCGGGUGAAGGAACUAGGCAAAAUGGCACCGUAACUUCGGGAGAAGGUGCGCCGGCUAGGGUGAAGGAUUUACUCCGUAAGCUCUGGCUGGUCGAAGAUACCAGGCCGCUGCGACUGUUUAUUAAAAACACAGCACUCUGCAAA
rnacentral:rRNA from 1 species